rnacentral:rRNA from 1 species
GAUGAACGCUGGCGGCGUGCCUAAUACAUGCGAGUCGAGCGAACGGACGAGAAGCUUGCUUCUCUGAUGUUAGCGGCGGACGGGUGAGUAACACGUGGAUAACCUACCUAUAAGACUGGGAUAACUUCGGGAAACCGGAGCUAAUACGGAUAAUAUUUUGAACCGCAUGGUUCAAAAGUGAAAGACGGUCUUGCUGUCACUUAUAGAUGGAUCCGCGCUGCAUUAGCUAGUUGGUAAGGUAACGGCUUACCAAGGCAACGAUGCAUAGCCGACCUGAGAGGGUGAUCGGCCACACUGGAACUGAGACACGGUCCAGACUCCUACGGGAGGCAGCAGUAGGGAAUCUUCCGCAAUGGGCGAAAGCCUGACGGAGCAACGCCGCGUGAGUGAUGAAGGUCUUCGGAUCGUAAAACUCUGUUAUUAGGGAAGAACAUAUGUGUAAGUAACUGUGCACAUCUUGACGGUACCUAAUCAGAAAGCCACGGCUAACUACGUG